rnacentral:lncRNA from 1 species
CCAGUGGUGGCUAGCGACAUGGUGCUCAACCCUACUGGAACCCAGUGGAUGUUUGUUUCAGAUAUCUCUAUUCAUAUUUAAAAGAUGUACACUCAUGUAAAUAUGAAAACAAAAAUAGCUAUAAUUUAGGAGCUGUACAACUCCUUUUUUAAACAGACUGGGGACGUCAUUUUGUAUGGCGUGUGUGUGUGUGUGUGUGUGUGCGUGUGCGCGUGCGUGUGUGUGUGUGUGUGUGAAAUCUCUGAUUACUGUUCACUCAUCUGUGGAUCUGUGCCAUGAGGAAACUUCAUCUAGACAAUACAUUUCAGCAUACAUUGUUGCUGCUUAAGAUAUUUUGGUAAUGAUGUAUGAUACUUGUGUAUAAUAACUUGUAUAAUAAUUCUAUGCAAAUGUUUCUUUUACGUUAUAAAGAGGUGAGCGAGUGUGCAAAGGUGAUUGUGUGUUUGCGUGUGUGUGUGUGUGUGUGUGUGUGUGUAAAUCAUCAGAUCCAUCUCUCAAGAAACAGGCUAACGAUCACGUCAUGUGAAGCGUUACACAAUAACUACACGGAGAUUGUGUGUGUGUGUGUGUGUGUACGUGCGUGUGUGUAUGUUUGUGUAUAAAGGUACGCUUUUUUUUUUUAACGGUUAAUUUGCUUAUCACAAACCUGUGGUAGUUAUGAAACAAUUACUGUUGAACUCUGACUCACGCUAUGCGUGCUAUUUAAGACGAGCAGAUUAUGAAGAAGAUAUACAGCUGUGUUGUUUGUGACUGUCCCUCCGUAGUAGCGUCCGCAUCGUCUCUGCUCUGAGCUCUUGUGUUGCUGUCUGGUUGCCUGGGGGAUUGUUUUACUGUAAAAGGCCAUGCGUGCCUUGGCUGUCCCUCGGACUCAAUUACCCAUCUCCCCUUUUCUCUGGUGAUGUCAUAGCUCUCGGCAGCCAUCUUGUAGUAGCAUGAGUGGGCGUAAAAGUAUCACUCCCGUUGCUAAUGAAUAUUACAGUUGGAGUACAAAACCCAUGGUGGCUAGUCAAAGCCAUUAUGGAGGAUGUUUUUGUGUUGUUUUUUUGUUUUGUUUCUCGUGAAUGUAACUUCUGUUAUUCUAACUGUAAAUAUACUGUACUUGUCAAAAGUUUGGACACACCUACUUAUUCAAGGUUUUUCUUUAUUUGUACUAUUUUCUACAUUGUAGAAAAAUAGGAAUACAUCCAAACUAUGAAAUAACACAUAUGGAAUCACGUAGUAACUCAAAAAGUGUUAAACAAAUCAAAAUAUAUUUUAUAUUUGAGAUUCUUCAAAGUAGCCACCCUUUGCCCUGAUGACAGCUUUUCACACGCUUGGCAUUCUCUCAACCAGCUUCACCUGGAAUGCUUUUCUAACAGUCUUGAAGGAGUUCCUACAUAUGCUGAGCACUUGUAGGCUGCUUUUCCUUCACUCUGCGGUCCAACUCAUCCCAAACCAUCUCAAUUGGGUUUAGGUUGGGUGAUUGUAGAAGCCAGGUCAUCUGAUGCAGCACUCCAUCACUCUCCUUGGUCAAAUAACCCUUACACAGCCUGGAGGUGUGUCAGGUCAUUGUCCUGUUGAAAAACAAAUGAGAGUCCCACUAAGCGCAAACCAGAUGGGAUGGCGUAUCGCUGCAGAAUGCUGUGGUAGCCAUGCUGGCUGGUUAAGUGUGCCUUGAAUUCUAAAUGAAUCACUGACAGUGUCACCAGCAAAGCACACCCACACCAUCACACCUCCUCCUCCAUGCUUCACGGUGGGAACCACACAUGUAGAUAUAAUCCAUUCACAUACUCUGCGUCUCACAAAGACAGUGCGGUUAGAACCAAAAAUGUCCAAUUUGGACUCAUCAGACCAAAGGACAGAUUACCACCGGUCUAAUGUCCAUUGCUCGUGUUUCCUGGCCCAAGCAAGUCUCUUCUUCUUAUUGGUGUCCUUUAGUAGUGGUUUCUUUGCAGCAAUUUGACCAUGAAUGCCUGAUUCACGCAGUCUCCUCUGAACAGUUGAUGUUGAGUUGUUUGUGUUACUUGAACUCUGUGAAGCAUUUAUUUGGGCUGCAAUUUCUGAGGCUGGUAACUUUAACUUAUUAACUUAUUCUCUGCAGCAGAGGUAGCUCUGGGUCUUCCUUUCCUGGUUUUUGUGACUGCACUUGAAGAAACUUUCAAAGGUCUUGAAAUUUUACGAAUUGACCCGACCUUCAUGUCUAAGUAAUGAUGGACUUUUGUUUCUCUUUGCUUAUUGGAGCUGUUCUUCCCGUAAUAUGGACUUGGUCUUAUACCAAAUAGGGCUGUCCUCUGUAUACCACCCCUACCUUGUCACAACACAACUGAUUGGUUCAAACGCAUUAAGAAGGAAAGAAAUUCCACAAAUUAACUUUUAAGAAGGCACACCUGUUAAUUGAAAUGCAAAAGGUGGCUACUUUGAAGAAUCAAAGAUAUAAAAUAUAUUCAGAUUUGUUUAACAGUUUUUUGGUUACUACAUGAUUCCAUAUGUGUUAAUUUCAUAGUUUGUUUUGAUGACUUCUACAAUGUAGAAAAUAGUCAAAAUAAAGAAAAACAUUUGAAUGAUUAGGUGUUUCCAAACCUUUGACUGGUACUGUACAUAUUACCUCUAGUGAUAAGCUACACCUAGGAUACUACCCUACUCAGCCUGACACUGCAUUACACGUUUCAUUCACAACAAAGUCUUACUCUCUCUCCAUCCCCCUCUUUCUUCCUCUUCAUCCAAUAAGCUACCCGUCCAGAGAGCUAAAGGGUUAAGCACUAUCUGGUCUAACAAAACGUGGGGGGUGUGUGUGUGUGUGUGUGUGUGUGUGUGUGUGUGUGUGUGUGUGUGUGUGUGCGUGUGUGUGUCUGUCCGUGUGUCCGUCUUCCUCUCUCUCUGUCCUCCUCAGUGACAGCAAAGACAACUGGCCCCAAUUUAGCCCAGCCAUCCCUACUGACCUCACCUCGUAAAAAUCCACAACAUAACGCCAUGACACUAAUUGGAACCCCCCCCCCCCCUCACGAUCAGCCCGGUGUGUGUGUGUGUGUGUGUCAGUCGCGUCUUGUGUAGCUCCCCCAUACACCACCCACCCUCCCACUCACACACAUAUCCCGACCCCCCCUAACCUUCCAUACACACAGACUUCCUGUCCAACACGUGUAGCUACGUGUGUCAUUUUCUCCCAGAAGUCUUAACUGUGUCGUUAGUAUCCCCCUCCAUUGUCCAUAUGUCCUGUCAGCUGCUUGUGUGAAAUUCUUUUUUUUAAUUUGUGGGUUUAUUUCUUUUUGUUUUCUCCUGAUGUCACAUUGGCAGUAAUGGAGAGAAAUCAUGGCGGGCAACUAUUUUCUUCAUUUUUGAAAUGUUUGGGGGUUUUUUCGACGUUGGAUUUGCGAUAUUUAUAUUUUUGUAUUAUAAGAUGUUUUUUUGUUUUUGUUUUCUUUCGUUAUUGGUCAUCAAUGCCAGUGGAUAACAAAUGCAGGGAUUUUUAUGUCUAUUGAAAAACACUAUUACAGUGAUUGUUUUGACAUGAAUGGUGUUUGAUCUGUAUAAAGUGCUUACUAAUGUUAAAUAGGAGGAACAAAAGACUAUAUAGCAUUUACACUACAAGACUCACCAUAGCUCUUAGAGGAUUUUAAAAGGAAGGAAAAUCAAUGGUUUUCUGCAGACUUCCAUUUGGUCUUCGUUGGCGAGGAUAUAUAUUGUUUCAGUUACAAAGAUAAAUGUAUGCCAUAUAAUUUAUUUAUAUGAAAAUUUAUUUUUGUAGUAUACAUAGUAGUUGUCAAGUUAUUUGACGGAAGUAUAUUUUUAAAGAGUUUAUAUGUAAUGAUACCGUAACAGAGGAAAUCCUAAGGUGGACUCUUUCACUGAUGACAUUGACAGUCAGUAUUAUCUAUCACAGGGGAGAGAAAACUCAGCAAGCUGUUUCUAUGGGUUUGUCAAAUGCUGGCCAUGAAAGUAGAAGUUGUACUAGCUCUCUAAAUAUUAAUGUUCAAACACUGAUAGAAUUCUAACAAAUAAAAAUAUUAUAACUUAUUUGUCUCU